rnacentral:rRNA from 1 species
AACGAACGCUGGCGGCAGGCCUAACACAUGCAAGUCGAACGCUCCAGCAAUGGAGAGUGGCAGACGGGUGAGUAACACGUGGGAACCUUCCCUUUGGUUCGGAAUAGCCCAGGGAAACUUGGGGUAAUACCGGAUAAGCCCUUACGGGGAAAGAUUUAUCGCCGAAGGAUGGGCCCGCGUCGGAUUAGCUAGUUGGUGGGGUAACGGCCUACCAAGGCGACGAUCCGUAGCUGGUCUGAGAGGAUGAUCAGCCACACUGGGACUUGGACACGGCCCAGACUCCUACAGGAGGCAGCAGUGGGGAAUAUUGGACAAUGGGCGCAAGCCUGAUCCAGCCAUGCCGCGUGAGUGACGAAGGCCUUAGGGUUGUAAAGCUCUUUUGGCGGGGAAGAUAAUGACGGUACCCGCAGAAUAAGCUCCGGCUAACUUCGUGCCAGCCGCCGCAGUAACAC